CUCUUAUCAAGAGUGGCGGAGGGACUGGCCCAAUGAUGCCCAGCAACCAGUACUUAAUAAGUACCCGGUGCUAACUCCUGCAGUUAUUAGUAACUGAGAGAUAAGAG
rnacentral:ncRNA from 2 species